AGUCGGGCCUUGUUAUCGACCCAUCAUUCUUCCCUAAGUCGUAAGAGUCGGCCUUACUUUAUAUGUGGGAGCAAGAGAUACAGGAAUCAUCGCUCAUAGAUGUGAAUUGAGAAAGCAAGCCCGAAUUCUUUUAAAUGGAAUUAGGCUCUAUAGUCUGGUCACUGUGCCAGGUAAGUCUUAUUGUUAUCCGCAAGUGUAGUUUUGACCGCAGGAAGGUUCACUUGGAAAAAGUGCUUAUUUGGUUGGGAAAGAGAGGACGGACUUUGGACUACGAGCCUACCACACCCGAAAACUGGUGGAAGCUGUAGCCUCUUAUCUUGUCGCUACCCACUAGAAGAAUCCCUUCUAUACCACUCACAAAGAAACCCAAAUCCUUUCCAUCAAGAUAGAUUGAAUCGACGACCUAUACUUAAGCACAAGGGAAUCCAGGGUGAAAAAGCACAGAACAUAGGAAAUGCAAUGGGUCUCCGAACGAAGUCUAAGGCACGUAAAACGGUGAUUGAUUCCUAACUUAUGUUCUGCACUUAUUUAAUAGGAAGAAGAAAUCGAUUCUGCGUCGUCGCUUCCCAGAUUUGGAAAAUUCAUGAGCCAGCCCGGAAAAUCCAAGUUGAACUAUCUUCCCCGUCUAUCCAUCUGAAAUGAUGAGAAAGACUCGCUCGUUAUUAAAGGCAGCAGCUCGUUA